rnacentral:rRNA from 1 species
AUCCACCUGGGGAGUACGAUCGCAAGAUUGAAACUCAAAGGAAUUGACGGGGGCCCGCACAAGCGGAGGAACAUGUGGUUUAAUUCGAUGAUACGCGAGGAACCUUACCUGGGCUUAAAUGCAGAACGACGAUUCGGGAAACCGAUUCUCCCUUCGGGGCGGACUGCAAGGUGCUGCAUGGUUGUCGUCAGCUCGUGCCGUGAGGUGUCGGGUUAAGUCCCAUAACGAGCGCAACCCUUAUCGUUAGUUGCCAGCGGGUAAUGCCGGGGACUCUAACGAAACUGCCGGUGUAAACCGAGAGGAAGGUAGGGAUGACGUCAAAUCAGCACGGCCCUUAUGUCCAGGGCUACACACGUGUUACAAUGGUCGGUACAGAGGGCAGCUACCUGGUAACAGGAUGCUAAUCUCGAAAGCCGGUCUUAGUUCGGAUCGAAGUCUGCAACUCGACUUCGUGAAGCUGGAUUCGCUAGUAAUCGCGCAUCAGCCAUGGCGCGGUGAAUACGUUCCCGGGCCUUGUACACACCGCCCGUCAAGCCAUGGAAGCUGGGGGUACCUGAAGUCUGUAACCGCAAGGAGCGGCCUAGGGUAAAACUAGUGACUGGGGCUAAGUCGUAACAAGGUAGCCG